UACAAAGACCAGCCUAGACUACAUUUGUCAUCUAAUUAUAACACUAGUUCAGUGUUUUGCCUUUGGCGCGCAACAGAAUUUAAACGGUCACAGAAAUUGUUAUAACACCGGUUACGCUGACGGUGGACGUCAACGGUCCGUCAGAGUAGGUUUAACCGUGAAUGGAGUCGAAUUUAACGGUUUUAUCCCUCAGACAAAGAUUAGAGAAUCUUCUGUGACUUUCCUUGAGUGAUUUUUAUUUAUUACAAAAUUAGUAGUAACCAAAAAUGAUCUGAAUUAACCAUGAAGUCAUGUUAACACUUAAAGUAGCUUUAACCGUUAGAUGAUAAUACGGUACAUACUCCUUCCCUUCACCAGCCGGGCGGGGACUAAGCAAUUCCAACAGGGGAAGUGCGAGGGGUGUUUCCAGCUGAUCUGCACAACAGAAGGACCAGAGAGUCCCCCCCUCAGCAGCCCGACCUACCUGCUCCUGUCUCCGGUAGACCUACCACAGGAGAGCGGACAGGUACCGGACUGCAGCGCCGCACCGAGAGCCUCUUCCUCCGGAUUACUUUCAGGUCUCCCCCCCCCCUCCUCCUCCUCCUCGCCUCUCCUGGGCUUCUUUUAACCGCCUGCUAGCUACCGUGAACCGGUGCCGUCGGUAGCUGUUAGCCCGGACUGUCAUGAUCCCAGCUCGGAGAUGGCGUCCUUCCCCGGUUUGUGUCAGGCUGUCGGGCCCGCGGAGGAGGAGAACGGAGAGCUGGACGGAUCGCUGCAGACGAUGCUGAAGGCCAUCGCCGACGAGAGGAACCGACUGAACAUCCGACAGGAGAUCAGCGGGCUGGGUUGUUUUAAAGAUGACCGCAUCGUGUUCUGGACCUGGAUGUUCUCCACGUACUUCAUGGAGAAGUGGACUCCUCGACAGGACGACAUGCUGUUCUACGUCCGCAGGAAGCUCGCCUACGUCAGCGCGGACAACACCGAGGGAAAAAAGGUGGAGGUUGAGGUUUACAGGAGAGACUCCAAGAAGCUGCCCGGCCUCGGAGACCCGGACAUCGACUGGGAGGAGAGCGUCUACCUGAACCUCAUCCUGCAGAAGUUGGACUACGUGGUGACAUGUGCAGUCUGCACGCGCUCAGACGCAGGAGACAUCCACAUCCACAAGAAGAAAUGUCAGGAAGUGUUUGCGUCUCCCAGCAAACACGCCAUGGACAGCAAAGGAGAGGAGUCCAAGAUGAGCUACCCGAACAUCUUCUUCAUGAUCGACAACUUCGAGGAGGUGUUCAGUGACAUGACGGUGGGCGAGGGCGAGAUGGUGUGCGUGGAGCUGGUGGCGAGCGACAAAAGCAACACCUUCCAGGGCGUCAUCUUCCAGGGUUCGAUCCGCUACGAGGCCCUCAAGAAGGUCUACGACAACCGGUGUUGCAGCCAAGAUGGCCCAGCGGAUGUCUUUCGGCUUCUACAAAUACAACAACAUGGAGUUUGUGAGGAUGAAGGGUCCGCAGGGAAAAGGCCACGCGGAGAUGGCCGUCAGCAGGGUGCCGACGGGCGACACCUCCCCCUGCGGCACCGAGGAGGACGCGGUGUCCCCCGUGCACGAGAGGGUGACGUCGUUCAGCACGCCUCCCACGCCAGAGAGGAACCGCCCGUCUUUCUUCUCGCCGUCUCUCCGGCGCAAAGUUCCUCGAAACCGAAACGCAGAGAUGAAGAAGUCUCACUCUGCCAACGACAGCGAGGAGUUCUUCAGGGAGGAGGACGACGAAGAUCUUCACACGGCCACAAACCUGCGCUCUCGCUCGCUGUCGGGCACCGGGCGCUCUCUGGUCGGUUCCUGGCUCAAACUGAACCGCACUGAAGACUACUUCCUGCUCUACUCUCACCUGACCUACGUGACGCUGCCGCUGCACCGCAUCACUGCAGACAUCCUGGAGGUGCGGCAGAAGCCAAUCCUGAUGACAUAGCAGAGCCUGUUUCCUGUUUCCUCUCAGAGCUUCUCUACAAAGUGCCUCCUGCAUCAGGCCACAGCAGCAGCAGCGCCCCCCGGUGUCCACGCUGAGAACAACCAAACACCUGAGUCAGAGGAGACCACCACCAACUAAAAAAAACCAGCCAUUCAGGAAGUGCCUCUUCUUCUUUCCAGUUCCCUCGCCGUUGUUCCCGGGGUCGUGAGAAGGCGUUUUCGCUGGCUGACAGGAAGGAGGAGGAAGUGAAGAAUGUGUGUGUUCUUGUAAAUAUCCUGCUGCUUUACUCACUGAGACGCCUUUUUAACGACACGUUCUGUUUCUGUUCGUGGACCUCGUGGAGUUUUAUCUUUAUUUUUAAAGGAUUCUAAGAAGACGGGAUGAGAAAGGGAUUCUUCAUCAGACGUUUGAAAUGAAAAACAGUUUUUUUAUAAAUCACAGGAUUACGUUUAAACGCUUCACUCAUUCAUCCAGGCGGGGUCAAACUCUUUUAUUCUCCUCAACUUCUGAAAGGAAACGCAUCACAGGUCACCAAAUUAAAAGUAUUUAUAUUUAUGGCGGUCGGCGUUCACGAGGUUAAUCUCACGCUUUUUGUCCCCUCAGGCUCUCCGUAGAUACUCGUCCUCAGAGUCUCCCUGUAGUCUCACUGCUGCAUCUCUGAAUGUCUCAUUUCACUUUAACAAACUCUCCAAAGUCAUAUCCACCUGAUGACAUCACACAUUGACCUGAUGACAUCACACAUUGACCUGAUGACAUCACACAUUGACCUGAUGACAUCACACAUUGACCUUUAUUACCGUUCCUUUUUAGCUGUCUGACCUCACUUUGGGAUCCCUAACCACUUCCUGUUUCUGUGCUGAAGUCCAUGUGCUAACUUUCACUCAACAGGAAGAGACUCACUUUAUUUCAAAAUAAAAGCAGGGCUGAUUUAAGAAAGUAAAUUACUCUCAGUUUAAGACAGUACAUUUCAAAAUAAAAGCCUCACUGUUUUCUGAAGUGAUGACAGCCCUAAAGUUUAUCGAUCAUUUGACAGAUUCAUUUCUAAAUUCAGACAAAACAAACAAAUCUUUAAUUCCUUCUUUGUUAUUUUGUGUGACGCUUGCGGCGCUCACGGUGGAAACACGAGCAUCGAGG